UACGUAGGGGGCAAGCGUUGUCCGGAUUUAUUGGGCGUAAAGAGCGUGUAGGCGGUUAGGUAGGUCCGUUGUGAAAACUCGAGGCUCAACCUCGAGACGCCGAUGGAAACCAUCUAACUAGAGUCCGGAAGAGGAGAGUGGAAUUCCUGGUGUAGCGGUGAAAUGCGUAGAUAUCAGGAGGAACACCUGUGGUGUAGACAGCUUACUGGACCAUUUCUGACGCUGAGACACGAAAGCGUGGGUAGCAAACAGG
rnacentral:rRNA from 1 species